UAUGUUGGAGUGAGAAUAUUGUGACAACGAGAUGUAAUGAAAAAAUAAUAAUAAUACCAAAAGAGGUUGAGAAUUACGUGUAGGAUGCAACAAAUACGUUUGUGACUUGUGACUGACGAUACAUUAAUUAAUGGAAAUCUUAUACAAUAAAGUUGCCUUGUCUCUCUCCUCCUGCGUCCACGUCAUCAGGGAGAUAGGGGCUUUCCUCGCCACGUGUCGUUGCGCUGAUUGGUUUGUGUAAGUCACGCGUUUUGGUUUCGUUGGGUUUUCUAUAAUCUUCAUCGUCGAACCAGAGUAAUGGAAGCAGUACGAUUUUUGCUCUAGCCAUAAACUGAGCAUUUAAUCUCAGUUAAUUCUUCCCCCACGACUUCUCAUUUCACUAGAUCCUUCGAUCUCUUCAGAUUUUUCAUGGAUUGGAUCCUAUAAUUAGGCGUUCCUUGCUUCGCGAAAGAAAGCUCAGUGGGCGAUGAAGUGGAUCGACGGAUCUCAGACCUUCGCGGAGAGGAGCAUCGCCUUCGCCUGCGCAUAAGGGAUCUUCUUCUCCGGUAGCUUCUGCUCGAUCUUCUGGCUCAAGAAACGAGGGCUUAUGCCUGGUUUGACCUUCUCCAACGAGUUGAUCUCUCGAGACGAUGGCUUUGCACUGCGUGAAGUCGAUCGUCUGGUUUCGCCUGCCUGAUCUACACCCUCUUGAGGACGAAUCUCAUGGACGAAUCUCUCUUCAGGGUAAAACAAACUUCUUCGAGAAGAGAGUUCGUGAUUACCAGAAGGCUUGUGUUAUGUCGAGCGUUAAUGGAGGCGGCGCGUUUGAUAAUCAUCUCUCCAACUCUACUCACUUUGCAAUUUAUCAUCAAUAUUAACAGCCUCUGGCGACAUGUAUGCACAACUUUUAGCAAAGGAAGAUGGCUAUUAAUCUGUAAAUAACAGAAUCGUGGCUACAAUAUCAGUUGCUUCCAUUAACAACUCGCCCUCACUUGAUUCUUAGCGGCAUCAGAGUCUCUACCACUUGUCUCCAGACCUCAUUCUUCUCUUAUUAUUUUCAAUAACAGAGGUUUGUUGUUUGAUCUCUAUUUCAAAAGGUCUUCUUGAAACCAUAUCAAUCCAUCUGUGGGCCAACGUUGAGAAAUUUGACAGUCUGCAUAAGCCUAAUACAAAUACAGUCGGCAUUGCAUUGUAAGUUAACAACUCCAUAUCUGGGCCAACAUUGAGAGUUUUUACUGUCUGCGUAGGUCAACAGUCAACACUAAUAGAUUCUCUCUAUCAUAUGGUUGAGAGAUAUAAAUGAGAAUUAGGUCAACAAGCCUAAGAAGCAAAUUUGUUUCUGAGUUUAUCUUAGUCGUUUCGUAUAACCUUCACAUAGUUGUGCCUUUCCUCCACUUUCCGGCGAUGAAUGAUUGGGUGUCAAUGGUGGAAUUCACUUAAAGCUACUCAUCACUUCCUCAACCUUUCAGCUUUCCUGCGUUUUUUGACCCGUUUAUUUUAUUAUAUAUACGAACAGAUGUGAGGACCCCGAAGAUUUGGUCGUCUCGCAAUCAAUCUUUUCUUACAAACUAUCUGUAAAAGCAGGUACCAUAAUGACCAAUUCUCAACUUCCUCUCUCUCAGUUGAAGGCUGGUCGUUCUAGGACGACGGCUGUCAGACGGCUUCUCUAUUUUUGGGAAGCUCGGGAUGUGAAGAAAGUAAUAGAACUUAUGGAGAUUGAUACAGUUCUGGUAGAUGAGGAGGAGUUGCUUUUCCAUUGUAUUUGUCUUUUCUGUAACUGUUUUCAAAAUUAUUUUUGUUUGCUAACGCUUCAUUGUUUCUAAAUGGUUUGCAGUCUGAUCCAGGGAUCUAGCAUACACCCCUUAAACGCAUUCCACCACUUACUCAGAGAGGGGUCUGUAUGAGCUCUGCAUUUGAUGUUACCAGGAAUUAAAUAUUUGUAUUGUACACUCCCAUGGUUGACUUAUACAAUUUGUUCACCUUUUGCUAAAUUAAUUUUAAGUUUCUCUU